rnacentral:rRNA from 1 species
UACGGAGGGAGCUAGCGUUGUUCGGAAUUACUGGGCGUAAAGCGCGUGUAGGCGGCCCGGUAAGUCCGCUGUGAAAGUCGGGGGCUCAACCCUCGAAUGCCGGUGGAUACUGUCGGGCUAGAGUGCGGGAGAGGCGAGUGGAAUUCCUGGUGUAGCGGUGAAAUGCGCAGAUAUCAGGAGGAACACCAAUUGCGAAGGCAGCUCGCUGGAACGUAACUGACGCUGGAGACGCGAAAGCGUGGGGAGCAAACAGG